CCUACGGGUGGCAGCAGUAGGGAAUCUUUCACAAUGGGCGAAAGCCUGAUGGAGCAACGCCGCGUGCAGGAUGAAGGCCUUCGGGUUGUAAACUGCUUUUAUAAGCGAGAAAUAUGAUGGUAACUUAUGAAUAAGGAUCGGCUAACUACGUGCCAGCAGCCGCGGUCAUACGUAGGAUCCGAGCAUUAUCCGGAGUGACUGGGUGUAAAGAGUUGCGUAGGUGGCAUAAUAAGUAGCUAGUGAAAUCUGGUGGCUCAACCAUUCAGACUAUUAGCUAAACUGUUAAGCUCGAGACCGUUAGGGGUAACUGGAAUUUCUAGUGUAGGAGUGAAAUCCGUAGAUAUUAGAAGGAACACCAAUAGCGUAGGCAGGUUGCUGGGACGGUUCUGACGCUGAUGCGCGAAAGCGUGGGGAGCAAACAGGAUUAGAUACCCCUGUAGUC
rnacentral:rRNA from 1 species